rnacentral:tRNA from 1 species
GGAGACGUCGCAUAGCCCGGUCGAGUGCGCCUCACUGCUAAUGAGGUAGGGAUCUUAAAGUCCCUCGGAGGUUCAAAUCCUCUCGUCUCCG